rnacentral:rRNA from 1 species
UAACGCGUGAGGAACCUGCCUCAAAGAGGGGGACAACAGUUGGAAACGACUGCUAAUACCGCAUAAGCCCACAGCUCGGCAUCGAGCAGAGGGAAAAGGAGUGAUCCGCUUUGAGAUGGCCUCGCGUCCGAUUAGCUAGUUGGUGAGGUAAUGGCCCACCAAGGCGACGAUCGGUAGCCGUACUGAGAGGUUGAACGGCCACAUUGGGACUGAGACACGGCCCAG